AGUGAACGCUGGCGGUAGGCCUAACACAUGCAAGUCGAACGGCAGCACAGUAAGAGCUUGCUCUUACGGGUGGCGAGUGGCGGACGGGUGAGGAAUACAUCGGAAUCUACUUUUUCGUGGGGGAUAACGUAGGGAAACUUACGCUAAUACCGCAUACGACCUACGGGUGAAAGCAGGGGAUCUUCGGACCUUGCGCGAUUGAAUGAGCCGAUGUCGGAUUAGCUAGUUGGUGGGGUAAAGGCCCACCAAGGCGACGAUCCGUAGCUGAUCUGAGAGGAUGAUCAGCCACACUGGAACUGAGACACGGUCCAGACUCCUACGGGAGGCAGCAGUGGGGAAUAUUGGACAAUGGGCGCAAGCCUGACGCAGCCAUACCGCGUGGGUGAAGAAGGCCUUCGGGUUGUAAAGCCCUUUUGUUGGGAAAGAAAAGCAGCAGGUUAAUACCCCGCUGUUCUGACGGUACCCAAAGAAUAAGCACCGGCUAACUUCGUG
rnacentral:rRNA from 1 species